GAGACUAUAGACAGACCAUGCUCGUAAGACCAAAUAAAAGGUUAUAAGCCAAUUGGACAACACUGCUCUAAUGUCUUUGGUUGGGGCGACCGAGGGGAAACAAAAAACCCCCAUGUGGAGCAGGAGAACUUUUCUCCCACAACCCAGAUCAACAGAUCUAAGUACCAGAAAUUCUGACCAGAGAGAUCCGGCAAAGCCGAUCAACGGACCCAGUUACCCU
rnacentral:rRNA from 1 species